rnacentral:rRNA from 1 species
UGGAUCCACACUUUGAUCAUGGCUCAGGAUGAACGCUAGCGGCAGGCUUAACACAUGCAAGUCGAGGGGCAGCGCGGAAGUAGCAAUACUUCUGGCGGCGACCGGCAGAAGGGUGCGUAACACGUGAGCAACCUGCCCGUGACAGGGGGAUAACCGACGGAAACGUCGCCUAAUACCCCGUAACAACAUAGGAGGCAUCUCCAGUGUUUGAAAGACACGUCAGUCACGGAUGGGCUCGCGGUACAUUAGCUAGUUGGCGGGGUAACGGCCCACCAAGGCGACGAUGUAUAGGGGUUCUGAGAGGAAGGUCCCCCACACUGGAACUGAGACGCGGUCCAGACUCCUACGGGAGGCAGCAGUGAGGAAUAUUGGACAAUGGAGGCAACUCUGAUCCAGCCAUGCCGCGUGAAGGAAUAAGGCCCUAUGGGUCGUAAACUUCUUUUGACGCAGAGCAAUAAGGACUACGCGUAGUCUGAUGAGAGUAUGCGUCGAAUAAGCAUCGGCUAACUCCGUGCCAGCAGCCGCGGUAAUACGGAGGAUGCGAGCGUUAUCCGGAUUUAUUGGGUUUGAAGGGUGCGUAGGCUGAAGAUCAAGUCAGCGGUGAAAUGUCCCGGCUCAACCGGGGCCUUGCCGUUGAAACUGGUCAUCUGGAAUGCGGAUGCCGUGGGAGGAAUGUGUGGUGUAGCGGUGAAAUGCAUAGAUAUCACACAGAACACCGAUUGCGAAGGCAUCUCACGAAUCCGCAAUUGACGCUGAGGCACGAAAGCGUGGGGAUCAAACGGGAUUAGAUACCCUGGUAGUCCACGCAGUAAACGAUGAUGACUAACUGCCGGCGAUACAGUGUCGGUGGCCAAGCGAAAGCGAUAAGUCAUCCACCUGGGGAGUACGACCGCAAGGUUGCAACUCAAAUGAAUUGACGGA